UACGUAGGGUGCAAGCGUUGUCCGGAAUUAUUGGGCGUAAAGAGCUCGUAGGCGGUUUGUCGCGUCUGGUGUGAAAAUCCAGGGCUUGACCCUGGACCUGCAUCGGGUACGGGCAGACUAGAGUGCGGUAGGGGAGAUCGGAAUUCCUGGUGUAGCGGUGAAAUGCGCAGAUAUCAGGAGGAACACCGGUGGCGAAGGCGGAUCUCUGGGCCGUAACUGACGCUGAGGAGCGAAAGCAUGGGGAGCGAACAGG
rnacentral:rRNA from 1 species